rnacentral:piRNA from 1 species
UCUUGAGGCACCUUUGUUGAA